rnacentral:rRNA from 1 species
GAAAUGGAUUUUUCCGCCUAAAGAAAAGCUCGCGGCUGAUUAGCUAGUUGGUAAGGUAAUGGCUUACCAAGGCGACGAUCAGUAUCUGGUUUGAGAGGACGAUCAGACACACUGGAACUGAGACACGGUCCAGACUCCUACGGGAGGCAGCAGUGGGGAAUUUUCCGCAAUGGGCGAAAGCCUGACGGAGCAAUACCGCGUGAGGGAAGACAGCCUACUGGGUUGUAAACCUCUUUUUUCAGGGAGGAAAAAAAUGACGUGUACCUGAAGAAUAAGCAUCGGCUAACUCCGUGCCAGCAGCCGCGGUAAGACGGAGGAUGCAAGUGUUAUCCGGAAUUACUGGGCGUAAAGCGUCUGUAGGUUGUUUAAUAAGUCAACUGUUAAAUCUUGAGGCUUAACUUCAAAACAGCAGUCGAAACUAUUAGACUAGAGUAUAGUAGGGGUAAAGGGAAUUUUCCAGUGGAGCGGUGAAAUGCCGUAAAUAUUGGAAAGAACACCGA